GAUGCUAGCGUCGAGGUUUGGCGUUGGAUUGGAAAUCCAAUGGGGUUUCCCCGCGCAGGUUCGUAUCCUGCUUGCGACG
rfam:Macrostomum lignano uti_cns_0047867, whole genome shotgun sequence.